UACGUAGGGUGCGAGCGUUGUCCGGAAUUAUUGGGCGUAAAGAGCUCGUAGGCGGUCUGUCGCGUCGAUCGUGAAAACUUGGGGCUUAACCCUGAGCUUGCGGUCGAUACGGGCAUGACUGGAGUUCGGCAGGGGAGACUGGAAUUCCUGGUGUAGCGGUGAAAUGCGCAGAUAUCAGGAGGAACACCGGUGGCGAAGGCGGGUCUCUGGGCAUUAACUGACGCUGGAGGAGCGAAAGCAUGGGGAGCGAACAGG
rnacentral:rRNA from 1 species